rnacentral:misc_RNA from 1 species
GAUGAAGAACGCAGCGAAAUGCGAUAAGUAAUGUGAAUUGCAGAAUUCAGUGAAUCAUCGAAUCUUUGAACGCACAUUGCGCCCCUUGGUAUUCCGAGGGGCAUGCCUGUUCGAGCGUCAUAUUAACCACUCCCGCUUGCGGGGUCUUGGGCUUCGCCUCCGGGCGGGCCUUAAAAUCAGUGGCGGUGCUGUCGGGCUCUACGCGUAGUAAAUUUUCUCGCGAUAGGGUCCCGGUGGAUGCUUGCCAACAACCCCCAACUUCUUAAGGUUGACCUCGGAUCAGGUAGGGAUACCCGCUGAACUUAAGCAUAUCAAUAAGCGGAGGA